GAUGAACGCUAGCGGCAGGCCUAACACAUGCAAGUCGAGGGGCAGCACAUAAAGUGGUUUACUACGUUUGGUGGCGACCGGCGGACGGGUGCGUAACGCGUAUGCAACCUGCCUCCAACAGCGGGAUAACGGAGAGAAAUUUCCACUAAUACCCCAUAAUACCUGAAUCGGCCUCGGUUUUGGGUGAAAACUCCGGUGGUCGGAGACGGGCAUGCGUUGGAUUAGAUAGUUGGUGAGGUAACGGUUCACCAAGUCAACGAUACAGAGGGGGACUGAGAGGUUAGCCCCCCACACUGGUACUGAGACACGGACCAGACUCCUACGGGAGGCAGCAGUGAGGAAUAUUGGUCAAUGGGGCAACCCUGAACCAGCCAUGCCGCGUGCAGGAAGACGGCUCUAUGAGUUGUAAACUGCUUUUACAAGGGGAUAAAUCGGUGUACGUGUACACCGUUGAAGGUACCUUGGGAAUAAGGAGCGGCUAACUCCGUGCCAGCCGCCGCCGUAA
rnacentral:rRNA from 1 species